UCCCUCCUAGAGACAACAUCUCAUAAUGGUA
rnacentral:piRNA from 1 species